rnacentral:rRNA from 1 species
AGUUUGAUCCUGCUCAGAAUGAACGUUGGCGGCGUGGAUUAGGCAUGCAAGUCGUACGCUCCGCAAGGGGCGUGGCGUAAGGGUGAGUAAGGCGACGGUAACCAACCCCGAGGCCGGGCAUAGCCGCUCGAAAGGGCGGGUAAUUCCCGGCGGUCUUGACGGGGGGCAUCUUCUGUCAAGUAAAGGUGGAAUUCCGCCUCGGGACGGGCCGUCGUGGUAUUAGGUAGUUGGCGGGGUAACGGCCCACCAAGCCUACGAUGCCUACCGGGCGUGCGAGCGUGGCCCGGCACACUGGGACUGAGACACUGCCCAGACACCUACGGGUGGCUGCAGUCGAGAAUCUUCGGCAAUGGGCGCAAGCCUGACCGAGCGACGCCGCGUGGAGGAUGAAGGCCUUCGGGUUGUAAACUCCUGUCGAGGGGGAACAAGGGUGCGUGCAGAGCGCAUCUUGAGUGAUCCCUGGAGGAAGCACGGGCUAAGUUCGUGCCAGCAGCCGCGGUAAGACGAACCGUGCGAACGUUAUUCGGAAUCACUGGGCUUAAAGCGCGUGUAGGCGGACAGGCACGUCGGAUGUUGAAAGCCCCCGGCUCAACCGGGGAACCGGCACCGAUACGGCUUGUCUGGAGGGANGUAAGGGGGGAGCCGGAACUUCCGGUGGAGCGGUGAAAUGCGUUGAGAUCGGAAGGAACGCCCGUGGCGAAAGCGGGCUCCUGGACCUCACCUGACGCUGAGACGCGAAAGCUAGGGGAGCAAACGGGAUUAGAUACCCCGGUAGUCCUAGCCGUAAACGAUGGGCACUGGGGUAGUGGGCUCGCCGAUGAGCUCUCUGCCGCNGGAAACCGUGAAGUGCCCCGCCUGGGGAGUAUGGUCGCAAGGCUGAAACUCAAAGGAAUUGA